rnacentral:rRNA from 1 species
GAUGAACGCUAGCUGGAGGCUUAAUACAUGCAAGUCGAGCGGGAUUGGGUAGCAAUACCCAUGAGAGCGGCGCACGGGUGAGUAACGCGUACACGACCUACCUCUAACAGGGGGAUAGCCCUGGGAAACUGGGAUUAAUACCGCAUAUUAUUCUGAAUAAUAAAGGUUUGGAAUGAAAGCUGAGGCGGUUAGAGAUGGGUGUGCGUCUGAUUAGCUAGUUGGUAGGGUAACGGCCUACCAAGGCGAUGAUCAGUAGGGGGCGUGAGAGCGUGGUCCCCCACACGGGUACUGAGACGCGGACCCGACUCCUGCGGGAGGCAGCAGUAAGGAAUAUUGGUCAAUGGGCGAAAGCCUGAACCAGCCAUCCGGCGUGCAGGAAGAAGGCCCUAUGGGUUGUAAACUGCUUUUAUCAGGGAAGAAACCUCUGGAUUUACUCCGGAGCUGACGGUACCUGAAGAAUAAGCACCGGCUAACUCCGUGCCAGCAGCCGCGGUAA